CUCCUGCAAAACUAAACUCUCGGCGCGGAAUGCGCCAAGGACUACUCAAAAUGGGUUGCCGGCAGCCUUGCGGAUUCCGCGAGGCGUGCCAGGCAUCUUAUCGUUUAACAAAAAGACUCUCGGCAACGGAUAUCUAGGCUCUCGCAUCGAUGAAGAACGUAGCGAAAUGCGAUACUUGGUGUGAAUUGCAGAAUCCCGUGAACCAUCGAGUUUUUGAACGCAAGUUGCGCCCGAAGCCAUCCGGUUGAGGGCACGUCUGCCUGGGCGUCACGCAUCCAGUCGCCACCCCUCCCGAAGUUACGGAGNGAGGUGGCGGACGUUGGCUUCCCGUGUUCUUGAGGCGCGGUUGGCCUAAAUACGAGUCUUUGGCGCGAGACGUCACGACAAGUGGUGGUUGAAAUCCUCAACUCGUGUGCUGUCGUGGCCUCG
rnacentral:rRNA from 1 species